rnacentral:misc_RNA from 1 species
CCGAGUUUCGUGCCCGUACGGGUAGAUCUCCCACCCUAUGUUAUUAUUACCUUGUUGCUUUGGCGGGCCGCCAGGCUCCGGUCAGGCUAUCGGCUUCGGCUGGUAAGCCGCCCGCCAGAGGACCUAAACUCUGUUUGUCUAUACUGUCUGAGUACUAUAUAAUAGUUA